CUUCAUGGAAGUGUUAAAACUUGCAUAUUUUGUAGCACUUAAGAUUCCAGAUUAUUGGUAUUUAGAGUUUCCAUAUUUUAGAUCUGUUUGGUAUUGCUUAUGUAAUGGCUCAAAAACAACUUCGUUUUCUACAAAUGUGGAGUUUUAUUGCAAUUUGCUAAUGCUCAUGGACAUAUGAACCACUAAAAGUUGAUAUAAUACAAAGAUUUAUUUAAUCUAUACAGAUAAACUACAAUGAAAUAGUCGAUGAUUCUGUUUUAACCUGGACGUACGAUAGAGGGAGCCAGGUAACAGUCAGCAGCAAAGGGUCUCUGAUCUUCAUCCAAAAACAGAUUGUGGUUGAGCAUUAUAUUUGAUUUUACCCCAGAACGUCACAUGAUAUUUAUCCACUGAUGUGUGUCAGGGUGCUAUGUGCUUGUGCAGUAUUUUUGACAGGGCAAAGGUAACAGGCCAUUGGAGCCAAGAGUUCAACAGUCAUGUUUUCACCUCAGUGCCGUCUUCUUCUGGGGUUCAUAUGAAUGUAGUUCCAGGGUGGUGAUAGACUCAAGACCGGAAAGAGAUGGAGUUCUGUUGAGGUGUGAUACUAUGUGAUUUAAGAGCUUUCUUGAUGGUA